GACGAACGCUGGCGGCGUGCUUAACACAUGCAAGUCGAACGAAGUGGCGAACGGGUGAGUAACGCGUAAACAACCUGACCUUCAGAGGGGGACAACAGUUGGAAACGACUGCUAAUACCGCAUACGGAAGGAGGGGAUUGCGUGUGAUUAGCUAGUUGGAGGGGUAACGGCUCACCAAGGCGCUGAUCAGUAGCCGGUCGGGGAGGAGGAACGGACACAUCUGGACUGGGACCCGGCCCAGACUCCUACGGGAGGCAGCAGUGGGGAAUCUUCCGGAAUGGACGGAAGGCUGACGAGGCAACGCCGCGUGAGUGGUGACGGCCUUCGGGUUGUAAAGCUCUGUUAAUCGGGACGCGGUACCGGAAUAGAAAGCCACGGCUAACUACGUGCCAGCCGCCGCGGUAAUAC
rnacentral:rRNA from 1 species